UUUUGGACAAUGGGCGCAAGCCUGAUCCAGCCACGCCGCGUGCGGGAAGAAGGCCUUCGGGUUGUAAACCGCUUUUGUCAGGGCAGAAACGGUUUGGGCUAAUACCCCGAACUAAUGACGGUACCUGAAGAAUAAGCACCGGCUAACUACGUGCCAGCAGCCGCGGUAAUACGUAGGGUGCAAGCGUUAAUCGGAAUUACUGGGCGUAAAGCGUGCGCAGGCGGCUUUGCAAGACAGAUGUGAAAUCCCCGGGCUCAACCUGGGAACUGCAUUUGUGACUGCAAGGCUGGAGUGCGGCAGAGGGGGAUGGAAUUCCGCGUGUAGCAGUGAAAUGCGUAGAUAUGCGGAGGAACACCGAUGGCGAAGGCAAUCCCCUGGGCCUGCACUGACGCUCAUGCACGAAA
rnacentral:rRNA from 1 species